AGGAAGCCCGCAGGUGGGCUGGUGGCCUGUGACCGGCUCCUCUCUUCCAGGCCCAGGACUCGCGGCCACACUUGAGUGUGAGUUGGGACCCUUUGAGCUGCCACUGAGGAAUCGAAGCCGGUGCCAUGGAGUUCGUGAUGAAACAGGCCCUGGGAGGGGCCACCCAGGAC